AUGAAGAUGCUCGGGCAGAUGCCGUCGCUCCGCUCCCUGUACCUCCACAGCGAGGAGGACAAGUACCGGCUGUCAUACACCGCCAACAAGAAUGAGUUCCAGGUGUUGGAAUGCAUCAACACGAACAUAGAGCUGAUAUGCGGCGACGGGGGGCUGCCAAUGAUCCAGGAGCUGGAGGUUGGCGGCAUCAGGGCAGGGAGGAACGUUGGCCUACGGGGGAACAUGCCUCUACUCAAGAGGGCCACCUACCACCUCGACUGCAUGAGCUGCCUCCACCUCCGGGUGCAGAAGGCGGAGGAAGAGCUAAGGCAGGCGAGCCAAGCGCACCCCAACCGUCCCACCCUCUUCACAAGAAGAUGGAACAACGUACGUUCUUGCAACUUCAUCUCCCCUUUCCCAUAA
rnacentral:rRNA from 1 species